rnacentral:rRNA from 1 species
GUAGGGGCCAAGCGUUGUCCGGAAUUAUUGGGCGUAAAGAGCUCGUAGGCGGUUUGGUAAGUCUGAUGUGAAAUCUCCAUGCUCAACGUGGAGCGGUCAUCCGAUACUGCCAUGACUUGAGUCCGGUAGAGGAGUGUGGAAUUCCCGGUGUAGCGGUGAAAUGCGCAGAGAUCGGGAGGAACACCUGUAGCGAAGGCGACACUCUGGGCCGGUACUGACGCUGAGGAGCGAAAGCGUGGGGGGAGCGAACAGGAUUAGAUACCCUGGUAGUCCACGCCCGUAAACCGUUGGGCACUAGGUGUGGGGGUCUAUCGACGACUUCUGUGCCGUAGCUAACGCAUUAAGUGCCCCCGCCUGGGGAGUACGGCCGCAAGGCUA